GGCAUCGCCCCGCGGGGCGCUGUCAGCAACCGCCCGCCGCCUGUACGCUGCCCAAAUUGCCGAUUUAUUCUGAAUUGAUUAUUUUUUUAACCCCUCCACAGCACGGUUCGCCGGCUCCGUGGCGUUUGCGGGCAUCCCUCCCCCUCCCAAACCCGGUGUCCUCUCUUUAAUUCCCUCUGUAUUAUUUGAGUGUCGCAGGCUGCGAGGAUCGGGCUUCUUAUCAAGACAUGCUGAAGUGGAAAUACUGUCACAGUGAUUUUCCCCAAAAGCUACUCAGAGCUACCAAGCCUUUAGUGCCUUUGAGAUUAAAGAAUUUGGCUCCGAGUCACCUGGUUUUGAGAGGAAAGGCAUCCCAGAUGACCUGUGAUCAUAGGAACUUCACACUUGGACAGUUGGAAGCUGGCUGUUGGCCUGCAAUGAGCUGGCUCCUCACCACAGAGGCAGAGCAGCUCCUCUCUGGCCAUGUCUUGUGCAGCAGUGGCUGCCAGCUGCUUAGGGGACAGAAGUGUAGGACAGGAUCAGAUCUUCUGUCUUUUUUCAAAAUAUGUCCUGCACGUGAGAAAGAAAGCAACAGAGACAGCAGAGACCUCCUUCAUGUAAAUCUGGGAGACAGGAUAGACACAGAAGAAGGACUUUAGAUGACAGAAGAAUGAGUAAGCCUGUUUUACUAGUGAUGAGAAGGAAGGGAGAGAAGAUGGAGGAGAAUAGUGUGGAAACACAGUGGAAGACAAAAGAUGAGAGGAGUCACAGAGGAAUGUGCAUAUGGCAGGAUGGAGGACAACCAGUGACAAAGAAAUAGGAGCAGAAGGAACAAGAUUGUGAGGAGUAGGACAACUAUUCAUUAAAAAAUAUUCAAAGAGUGGGAAGAUGAUAGCAAACUAUAGAUGGAAACAAGGAAAUACAGGUGGUAUGGAGGUUGGAAGAUUACUUUUUUUAACAGCAUGAAAUAGAAAAGAAAAAUCUUGGAUUAAAGAGUUUAAUUAAAACCUCUGUUCACUG